rnacentral:rRNA from 1 species
UGGGGAAUUUUGCACAAUGGGGGAAACCCUGAUGCAGCGACGCCGCGUGAUUUAGAAGGCCUUCGGGUUGUAAAAAUCUUUUCUAUGGGAAGAAAAUGACAGUACCAUAGGAAUAAGGACCGGCUAAUUACGUGCCAGCAGCCGCGGUAAUACGUAAGGUCCGAGCGUUGUCCGGAAUCAUUGGGCGUAAAGGGUACGUAGGCGGGUAAGCAAGUUAGAAGUGAAAUCCUAUAGCUCAACUAUAGUAAGCUUUUAAAACUGCUCAUCUUGAGGUAUGGAAGGGAAAGUGAAAUUCCUAGUGUAGCGGUGAAAUGCGCAGAUAUUAGGAGGAAUACCGGUGGCGAAGGCGACUUUCUGGCCAUAACCUGACGCUGAGGUACGAAAGCGUGGGUAGCAAACAGG